AGAUUAAACUGAAGAGUUUGAUCCUGGCUCAGAUUGAACGCUGGCGGCAUGCCUUACACAUGCAAGUCGAACGGCAGCACGGAGCUUGCUCUGGUGGCGAGUGGCGAACGGGUGAGUAAUAUAUCGGAACGUACCCUGGAGUGGGGGAUAACGUAGCGAAAGUUACGCUAAUACCGCAUACGAUCUAAGGAUGAAAGUGGGGGAUCGCAAGACCUCAUGCUCGUGGAGCGGCCGAUAUCUGAUUAGCUAGUUGGUAGGGUAAAAGCCUACCAAGGCAUCGAUCAGUAGCUGGUCUGAGAGGACGACCAGCCACACUGGAACUGAGACACGGUCCAGACUCCUACGGGAGGCAGCAGUGGGGAAUUUUGGACAAUGGGCGAAAGCCUGAUCCAGCAAUGCCGCGUGAGUGAAGAAGGCCUUCGGGUUGUAAAGCUCUUUUGUCAGGGAAGAAACGGUGAGGGCUAAUAUCCCUUGCUAAUGACGGUACCUGAAGAAUAAGCACCGGCUAACUACGUGCCAGCAGCCGCGGUAAUACGUAGGGUGCAAGCGUUAAUCGGAAUUACUGGGCGUAAAGCGUGCGCAGGCGGUUUUGUAAGUCUGAUGUGAAAUCCCCGGGCUCAACCUGGGAAUUGCAUUGGAGACUGCAAGGCUAGAAUCUGGCAGAGGGGGGUAGAAUUCCACGUGUAGCAGUGAAAUGCGUAGAUAUGUGGAGGAACACCGAUGGCGAAGGCAGCCCCCUGGGUCAAGAUUGACGCUCAUGCACGAAAGCGUGGGGAGCAAACAGGAUUAGAUACCCUGGUAGUCCACGCCCUAAACGAUGUCUACUAGUUGUCGGGUCUUAAUUGACUUGGUAACGCAGCUAACGCGUGAAGUAGACCGCCUGGGGAGUACGGUCGCAAGAUUAAAACUCAAAGGAAUUGACGGGGACCCGCACAAGCGGUGGAUGAUGUGGAUUAAUUCGAUGCAACGCGAAAAACCUUACCUACCCUUGACAUGGAUGGAAUCCCGGAGAGAU
rnacentral:rRNA from 1 species